GACGAACGCUGGCGGCGCGCCUAACACAUGCAAGUCGAACGGAGCGUGCCGAGCGGAAGCCUUCGGGUGGAAGCAUGGCAUUGCUUAGUGGCGAACGGGUGAGUAACACGUGAGCAACCUGCCUUAAAGUGGGGGACAACAUUGGGAAACGAAUUCUAAUACCGCAUAACAUAUAUUUGUGGCAUCACAGAUAUAUCAAAGGAGAAAUCCGCUUGAAGAUGAGCUCGCGUCCCAUUAGCUAGUUGGCGGGGUAGAGGCCCACCAAGGCGACGAUGGGUAGCCGGACUGAGAGGUUGAACGGCCACAUUGGGACUGAGACACGGCCCAGACUCCUACGGGAGGCAGCAGUGGGGAAUAUUGCGCAAUGGGGGAAACCCUGACGCAGCAACGCCGCGUGAUUGAAGAAGGCCUUCGGGUUGUAAAGAUCUUUAAUCAGGGACGAAGGAAGUGACGGUACCUGAAGAAUAAGCUCCGGCUAACUACGUGCCAGCCGCCGCUGUAAGAC
rnacentral:rRNA from 1 species